GAGGAUGCGAGCGUUAUCCGGAUUUAUUUGGUUUAAAGGGUGCGUAGGUGGUCUUUUAAGUCAGCGGUGAAAGUUUGUGGCUCAACCAUAAAAUUGCCAUUGAAACUGGGAGACUUGAGUAUGUUUGAGGUAGGCGGAAUGCGUGGUGUAGCGGUGAAAUGCAUAGAUAUCACGCAGAACUCCGAUUGCGAAGGCAGCUUGCCAAGCCAUAACUGACACUGAAGCACGAAAGCGUGGGUAUCAAA
rnacentral:rRNA from 1 species